rnacentral:rRNA from 1 species
AUACGGAGGGUGCAAGCGUUACCCGGAAUCACUGGGCGUAAAGCGCGCGCAGGCGGCUUGAUAAGUUGGAUGUGAAAGCCUACGGCUCAACCGUAGAACUGCAUCCAAAACUGUCAAGCUAGAGUCUGGGAGGGGAAGAUGGAAUUAGUUGUGUAGGGGUAAAAUCCGUAGAGAUAACUAGGGAUACCAAAAGCGAAGGCGAUCUUCUGGAACAGUACUGACGCUGAGGCGCGAAAGCGUGGGGAGCAAACAGGAUUAGAAACCCUAGUAGUCC